ACUACGCCAACGCCAGUAUCUUGUUAUUAAGGCUGCUCAAUUAAUCAAAAUUUCAUCAUGAAUCAGUGUUUCCUCUAGGAUUUGUUUUAGCAGUGGGGGCAGGCCUGUCCGAAGCUGUUAGGGUUGCUGUUAGCAGUCAAAUAAUUGUAAGUUAGACUGAGGGUAACUUCAGUCUUUUCAGCGUACAGUACAUUUGUGUUUGUUAAGCUUUUGUUGUUCUUGUCUGAGAUAAAACAUUGCAUUAAUUGGGAAUUGAACUUCUGAAUCCCGCUGACAUGUGUAGGCGAUAAUUCCACUGAACUAAUUUUAGAAUACUAUGGGUCUUUGUGCCCUCAGUCUUUGACUUGCAGGCGACUGACUCCUUAACAUCUGUAAUAUCUGACAAUUACUAUUAAUAUUACCAUUAUAAGUUGUAGUUAUUAGUAUUCGUGGUGCUAUUGUAUAUGUUAUUAGUAUAGUUUUAUGACAGAUAAUCAACAGACAUGUUUUGCUUGCUGCAGUUUUAUAAGUGGUAGUUAUCGGUGUGAGCGCGUUUGCAACUGAUCCACAUUUUAUUGUAAAACUAGCAAUUAAAGAGUGCAGAGUUGAUGGAAUGUUUAUUUUGUUUUCAAUGUUUUAUAUUUCUGUUCAUGAUGUGAGGACUGAUGUUGCUCGAGAUAAGAGUCAAGCCCACUGACGUUGUGCUACUGACCUGUUAGUUAUUACAAUGCUCUCUUCCCCCGACGUUGCUUCCCUCCUCUGCAUCCCCGAUGUGUUUUUCUCCAGAGUUCAGGUGGUAAAUCAGCUGGUCUGGCCACUAUGCCGGCCGGCACUAGUGUGAUCAGCUGUUCUCCGGAGUAAACAAAGGCAGCGUGUCCCAGUGGAAGCGGCAUUGAUAAAAACAACAUAAAAAAAAACACGAAAACUCUCUAAAACAACCACAUUAGAGAGAGCAGGACUUCACAGAGUUAUAGUGAGAAAAUAAGAACGGACAAAAAGAGAAUAAAAGUCAAGAAAUUUAAAAAAGCGGACUCAAAGGCUGGAGCAACGUAACAGGCAGCAAGCAGCUUUCACGCAUAAGUUAGUAGUUAGGGUUUAGGGAUAAGGACAUGGAACUUUGUAUAUCAAAAGUGCAAGAGGUUUAUGGUCCUGGGUGGUUUAUGGGCCACACAGUUGAAAGAUAUACUUAGGGCACUCGUCUGUAGCCUGCAAGUCUCUGUUUGAGGGCAUAGUAACAGGGGUUCACGGGCAUUGGUGGUUCAGUGGUAGAAUUCUCGCCUGCCACGCGGGAGGCCCGGGUUCGAUUCCCGGCCAAUGCAUUAUUCUUUAUAAACCAAAGCAAACACUGUCUGUCAUGGAUACACUGCCACAAUAUAAUGAAAAAUUACUCAAUUAUAGGGAUCAGUGCAUCCUAAAAUCCAACAUGUAACACAGCUCUCAUUCUUCUGCAGCUCAUAAACCUGUUAAAACCACAGUGUUAAGGACUAAUUCAAGUCAAGUAACAUUCUCAGAUUCCCGGCAAAAGGUCUAAUUGUCCAGGUGCUGGAUGUGAUGUUCCCCAGCCUCGCCUGCUGCUUCCUGUCAGUCAGGAAGCUUGUAAUCCACUGAUAGGUGGAGGCUGGCACAGUGAGCUGGGUGAGUUUGGUGUGACAGAUGUCCGGGGUGAUGGUGUUGUUAAGGAUUACUUCAAGCAGGAAUUUUGCAUUGGCAGUUCACUGGUAGAAGUCUCAGAUUCCUGGCAGAAACAGUGACAUAGUUGUGAUCCAGAACUGUCCAAAUGGCCCCAAGUUAAAUGUGAGAUAUGCUCCAGCUGAAUUUUCUCACAAAACUCUGGGUUGUGUGUGUAGUUUUUCCUCUACAGCAGCUGCACCAACCUGACAUCUGCUGUGCCCCAGGCUGACUGUCUGGACUGUUGUUGGGGUGUUUUAAGUUAAGUUAGGGUUUAGGGAUAAGGACAUGGAACUUUGUAUAUCAAAAAUGCAAGAGGUUUAUGGUCCUGGGUGGUUUAUGGGCCACAUGAUUGAAAGAUAUACUUAGGGCACUCGUCUGUAGCCUGCAAGUCUCCGUUUGAGGGCAUACUGACACAGGUUCCCAGGCAUUGGUGGUUCAGUGGUAGAAUUCUCGCCUGCCACGCGGGAGGCCCGGGUUCGAUUCCCGGCCAAUGCAUUAUUCUUUAUAAACCACAGCAAACACUGUCUGUCAUGGAUACACUGCCACAAUAUAAUUAAAAUGUACCCUAUUACAGGGAUCAGUGCAUCCUAAACUCCAACAUGUAACACCGUAAACCUGUUAAAACCCCAGUGUUAAGGACUAAUUCAAGCAGGAAUUUCCCAUGUUGACUGCAUCAUCCACUGACCCGGUAGGCUAACUGCAGGGCAUCCAGCAAGGGGCCUGUAAUGUCCUUCAGGUAUACCAGUAUUUCAAAGGACUACAGGUGUCUGAUUGUUAUACUGAUUUUCUACCACAUACCUGAGGAGCUGAGGAGGAGGCGACGAGGCUGCAGAGCCGGAGCGAAGGUGAAGGGUAGGCUAGGGGCUAAGCGGUGGAAGUACAAGCCCUCGGUUCCGUCGAUAGUGAUGGGGAAUGUGAACUGUCUGACCAACAAGACGGAUGAGCUGGCUGCCCUUGUGAGGACGGACAGGACGUUCAGAUUGAUAUGUAAACGGAAGCAGAGGCAACGACACAAAUGUUGACCGGGUUCCAAUUUCUGCCGUGACCCGGAUUCGAACCGGGGUUGCUGCGGCCACAACGCAGAGUACUAACCUCUAUAAGAUCACAGCUGCCUGGUUUACUUAGUGCCUCCUUGUUGAGUGUCUCCAGGUCGUGACAGCAUAGUUUGAGCUUUGACUUUCGAGGAACCACUGUUUUAUCUGUAAGGGAUUCCUAAAUGAUGUGUUACAAAAGCUAGUCAAGUUCCACAGAAGGUUGAUCCAUCCAUCAUUCUGUGUGUUUUCUUCAGCGACAAAUUUCCAAAGAAAGAUCAUUAGCACCUACCAACUACAAACAGAAGAGCGUUCACUGGUUGUAGGUGCUUUUCGGACAUGUACAUGGCUGUGACUGAAACUGGGUGGUUCCAAAUGCUCUUAAUAUGUUGAAAGGCCACUGUCUUUCCAAAGAAAGCUAAUUAGCACCUAACACAACCAACAAAUGGCCCUGGAUCCAAUCCAAUCCAAUCCAACUUUAUUUGUUAAGCACUUUAAAACAACCAAAGUUGACCAAAGUGCUGUACAGGAGAAUAAAUAAGAUAAAUAAAUAAAAGACAUAACAGCUCACAUGAGGCGCAAAAUAACAUAUAAUACAAAAAUAAAAUGAAAAGACAUAAAUAAAAAUAAUAACCAUACAAUAACAAGCAAUCAAAAAAUAAAAAUAACAAAUACAAAAAAUAAAUCAAGUAAAUAAAGUCGACAUCUUACUAGGUGUCAAAGGCCACAGAGAAGAGAUGGGUUUUAAGACUGGUUUUUAAAACAGACAGAGAAGAGGCCUGUUUAACGUGCAGAGGCAGAUCAUUCCAUAAUUUAGGAGCAGACACAGCAAAGGCACGGUCCCCUCUGAGCUCCCGCUUAGUUUUAGGCACACUCAGGAGCAGCUGAUCAUCUGACCUGAGGGGGCGGACGGGUAUAUAGGGGUGUAGAAGCUCAGAGAGGUAGGGCAGGGCAAGACCAUUUAGGGAUUUAAAAGCAAAUAAAAUAAUUUUAAAAUGGAUCCUAAAUUGAAUAGGCAGCCAGUGGAGUGAGGCUAAAAUGGGGGAAAUGUGCUCAUGUUUACAUGUGCCAGUUAAAAGACGUGCAGCAGCAUUCUGUACCAUCUGAAGACGGGCGAUGGAGGACCCACUAACCCCCACAUACAGUGCAUUACAGUAAUCCAGUCGAGUGGUAACAGAGGCGUGGAUUACCGUCUCAAAGUGCUGCCUUGAUAGAAUUGGCUUUAUUUUGGCCAGCUGCCUCAAAUGGAAAAAGCUUGAUUUGACAACAGCCUUGAUCUGACUGUCAAACUUAAGCUCAGGGUCCACCUUUAACCCCUAGGUUUGUGAUGCUAGGUUUAAUAUACUGGGCCAAGGAACCCAGAUCUACAGGGGGGAUCCCUGUGGUGCCACCAAAAGCCAUCACUUCUGUCUUUUUAUCAUUGAAAUUUAAAAAGUUCAGAGUCAUCCAGGCCUUUAUGUCGUCAAGGCACUUAAGUAGCAGUCUGACAGAGUAUUCAUUUUUCUUUUUAAGAGGCACAUAAAUCUGACUGUCGUCUGCAUAACAGUGGAAUGAAAAGCCGUGCUUCCUAAGUAUGGAACCAAGUGGGAGCAAAUAGAGAGAGAAAAGAAGAGGGCCAAGAACUGAGCCCUGUGGGACCCCACACAAGAGAGGAGCAGAGGAGGAUACAGAGUCACCUAGGCUGACAUAGAAAGUUCGAUCAGCCAAGUACGACCUGAACCACUCCAGUGCUAUGCCCCUGAUGCCCACCCACUGCUUCAAACGUGAGAUCAGUAUUUCAUGAUCCACUGUGUCAAAUGCAGCAGUUAAAUCUAAAAGCACAAGGAUAUUACAGUCACCAGAGUCAGUAGCUAAAAAGAUAUCAUUAAAAACUCUUAAGAGAGCUGAUUCUGUGCUGUGCACGGUUUUAAAACCGGAUUGGAAAACCUCUAGAAUAUUAUGUUCUUCCAGAAAGGCCAUUAAUUGAUUGUGCACAAUCUUCUCCAGGAUUUUUGAAAGGAAAGGCAGUUUGGAGAUAGGCCUGAAAUUAGCAAGAAUUGCAGGAUCUAGAGCCGUUUUUUAAUCAGAGGUUGUACUACUGUGAACUACUACUAUUGACUGAAAGUGAGUGGUUCCAAAGGCUCGUAGUAAAACAAGAGUUCUGUAGUUGGCUUUGGAUGUUUAUCACAUGUUGAGCUGCUCUCACGCAGACGCCCGGGCUCAUGCACCGGGUCUUUUUCAAAUGCAAGCUUUUAAAAUUCUGGACGACUUGUUAGUUUUUGCCCUGGAGAGAUGGGAUGAGACAUUUUAAACUGGAUUCAGCAAAAAUUUCCCAUUUCAUGGAUUUCAGUGACUUGAGUGACUGUGUGUUGCUUCCCUCCUCUGCAUCCCCGGUGUGUUUUUCUCCAGAGUUCAGGAGGUAAAUCAGCUGGUCUGGCCACUAUGCCGGCCGGCACUAGUGUGAUCAGCUGUUAAAUUGCAGGAGUAAACAAAGGCAGCGUGUCCCAGCGGAAGCGGCAUUGAUAAAAACAACAUAAAAAAACCCCACGAAAACUCUCUAAAACAACCACACUAGAGAGAGCAGGACUUCACAGAGUUAUAGUGGGAAAAUAAGAACGGACAAAAAGAGAAUAAAAGUCAAGAAAUUUAUAAAAAGCGGACUCAAAGGCUGGAGCAGCGUAACAGGCAGCAAGCAGCUUUCACGCAUAAGUUAGUAGUUAGGGUUUAGGGAUAAGGACAUGGAACUUUGUAUAUCAAAAGUGCAAGAGGUUUAUGGUCCUGGGUGGUUUAUGGGCCACACAGUUGAAAGAUAUACUUAGGGCACUCGUCUGUAGCCUGCAAGUCUCUGUUUGAGGGCAUAGUAACAGGGUUUCACGGGCAUUGGUGGUUCAGUGGUAGAAUUCUCGCCUGCCACGCGGGAGGCCCGGGUUCGAUUCCCGGCCAAUGCAUUAUUCUUUAUAAACCAAAGCAAACACUGUCUGUUAUGGAUACACUGCCACAAUAUAAUGAAAAAUUACUCAAUUAUAGGGAUCAGUGCAUCCUAAAAUCCAACAUGUAACACAGUUCUCAUUCUUCUGCAGCUCAUAAACCUGUUAAAACCACAGUGUUAAGGACUAAUUCAAGUCAAGUAACAUUCUCAGAUUCCCGGCAAAAGGUCUAAUUGUCCAGGUGCUGGAUGUGAUGUUCCCCAGCCUCGCCUGCUGCUUCCCGUCAGUCAGGAAGCUUGUAAUCCACUGAUAGGUGGAGGCUGGCACAGUGAGCUGGGUGAGUUUGGUGUGAUAGAUGUCCGGGGUGAUGGUGUUGUUAAGGAUUACUUCAAGCAGGAAUUUUGCAUUGGCAGUUCACUGGUAGAAGUCUCAGAUUCCUGGCAGAAACAGUGACAUAGUUGUGAUCCAGAACUGUCCAAAUGGCCCCAAGUUAAAUGUGAGAUAUGCUCCAGCUGAAUUUUCUCACAAAACUCUGGGUUGUGUGUGUAGAUUUUCCUCUACAGCAGCUGCACCAACCUGACAUCUGCUGUGCCCCAGGCUGACUGUCUGGACUGUUGUUGGGGUGUUUUAAGUUAAGUUAGGGUUUAGGGAUAAGGACAUGGAACUUUGUAUAUCAAAAUGCAAGAGGUUUAUGGUCCUGGGUGGUUUAUGGGCCACAUAAUUGAAAGAUAUACUUAGGGCACUCGUCUGUAGCCUGCAAGUCUCCGUUUGAGGGCAUACUGACCCAGGUUCACAGGCAUUGGUGGUUCAGUGGUAGAAUUCUCGCCUGCCACGCGGGAGGCCCGGGUUCGAUUCCCGGCCAAUGCAUUAUUCUUUAUAAACCAAAGCAAACACUGUCUGUCAUGGAUACACUGCCACAAUGUAAUUAAAAUGUACCCUAUUACAGGGAUCAGUGCAUCCUAAACUCCAACAUGUAACACCGUAAACCUGUUAAAAAUCCCAGUGUUAAGGUCUAAUUCAAGCAGGAAUUUCCCAUGUUGACUGCAUCAUCCACUGACCCGGUAGGCUAACUGCAGGGCAUCCAGCAAGGGGCCUGUAAUGUCCUUCAGGUGGAUACCAGUAUUUCAAAGGACUACAGGUGUCUGAUUGUUAUACUGAUUUUCUACCACAUACCUGAGGAGCUGAGGAGGAGGCGACGAGGCUGCAGAGCCGGAGCGAAGGUGAAGGGUAGGCUAGGGGCUAAGCGGUGGAAGUACAAGCCCUCGGUUCCGUCGAUAGUGAUGGGGAAUGUGAACUGUCGGACCAACAAGACGGAUGAGCUGGCUGCCCUUGUGAGGACGGACAGGACGUUCAGAUUGAUAUGUAAACGGAAGCAGAGGCAACGACACAAAUGUUGACCGGGUUCCAAUUUCUGCCGUGACCCGGAUUCGAACCGGGGUUGCUGUGGCCACAACGCAGAGUACUAACCUCUAUAAGAUCACAGCUGCAUGGUUUACUUAGUGCCUCCUUGUUGAGUGUCUCCAGGUCGUGACAGCAUAGUUUGAGCUUUGACUUUCGAGGAACCACUGUUUUAUCUGUAAGGGAUUCCUAAAUGAUGUGUUACAAAAGCUAGUCAAGUUCCACAGAAGGUUGAUCCAUCUAUCAUUCUGUGUGUUUUCUUCAGCGACAAAUGUCCAAAGAAAGAUCAUUAGCACCUACCAACUACAAACAGAAGAGCGUUCACUGGUUCUUGGUGCUUUUCGGACAUGUACAUGGCUGUGACUGAAACUGGGUGGUUCCAAAUGCUCUUAAUAUGUUGAAAGGCCACUGUCUUUCCAAAGAAAGCUAAUUAGCACCUAACACAACCAACAAAUGGCCCUGGAUGAGGGUAUUGACUGACAGAUACGUGAAUUACGUUGGUAUCGGUCCCAAUACUGAUACUGGAUCGGAUCGGCCCCAUCCCUAUACUCCCUCUGUGAGUUUGCGCCCUUUGUGCUGGUUUGUGUUUACGUUCCACCGCAGGCCAACGUGCAGGAGGCACAAUGCAAGCUCGACUAGCAGAUAUUGUGUGCAGAGAGGAAAACCCGGACUCGGGACAGCGCCAGCAUGGCGUCGACAUGUCAAAAACAUUGCUGGAUGUGACACAGGGUAUGCUGGACAGAUCAGCCAGACAGAUCAGUAGGAAGAAAAACUAAAAACAGGAGUUCUGCAAUUGGCUUUGGAUGUUUUUAUCACAUGUUGAGCUGCUCUCACGCAGACACCCGGGCUCCCUAGAUAAAAACGGCUUAUUCUAAGGUAACAAGAACACAAUAAAAUGAACAAACAAUAAAAAUAAAUAUAAUAAUAAAUAAAUGAAUGAAAUAAAUAAACACUGGACCUUUGGGACAAAAUGUGAAGAACAUAACAGAACAACAGAUGGCAAAUGUAUGACCUCAGCUAUUUUUUUUUCUGCCAUCCACGCUCUUUUUCUCCAUUACAUAGAACAGUGAAGCCUGAAAUUCUUUCCACGUCAUUUCCUUUGUCUUUAUGAUGCAAGGACCUUAGCUGGACAGUAAAUGUAUAUUCCUGCCACUCCCGGAAAUCCUGUGUGGAUGUGUCUGCUGUUUGGACCCUGUUUCAGCUCUGUGUGACAGAAACGACACAUUGGGGUUGUGUGUGUAGAUUUUCCUCUACAGCAGCUGCACCAACCUGACAUCUACUGUGCCCUAGGCUUACUGUCUGGACUGUUGUUGGGGUGUUUUAAGUUAAGUUAGGGUUUAGGGAUAAGGACAUGGAACUUUGUAUAUCAAAAAUGCAAGAGGUUUAUGGUCCUGGGUGGUUUAUGGGCCACAUAAUUGAAAGAUAUACUUAGGGCACUCGUCUGUAGCCUGCAAGUCUCUGUUUGAGGGCAUACUGACACAGGUUCACAGGCAUUGGUGGUUCAGUGGUAGAAUUCUCGCCUGCCACGCGGGAGGCCCGGGUUCGAUUCCCGGCCAAUGCAUUAUUCUUUAUAAACCACAGCAAACACUGUCUGUCAUGGAUACACUGCCACAAUAUAAUUAAAAUGUACCCUAUUAUAGGGAUCAGUGCAUCCUAAAAUCCAACAUAUAACACGGUUCUCAUUCUUCUGCAGCUCAUAAACCUGUUAAAACCACAGUGUUAAGGACUAAUUCAAGCAGGAAUUUUGCAUUGGCAGUUCACUGGUAACAUUCUCAGAUUCCCGGCAAAAGGUCUUAAUUGUCCAAGUGCUGGAUGUGAUGUUCCCCAGCCUCGCCUGCUGCUUCCUGUCAGUCAGGAAGCUUGUAAUCCACUGAUAGGUGGAGGCUGGCACAGUGAGCUGGGUGAGUUUGGUGUGAUAGAUGUCUGGGGUGAGCAUUCAUCAGUAAAUGUAUGAAGUAUUACUUAUAUUUCCACAUGGCAUGAAUUAAUUAAUAAUGCAUUAACAUCAAUGUACUGCACUGCAUUUACCUUCCACUAGUGGCUCAUGUGGUUUCCUUUGGGUGUCAGCUGGUGGUCUGGACA